rnacentral:rRNA from 1 species
GACGAACGCUGGCGGCGUGCUUAACACAUGCAAGUCGAACGGAAAGGCCCUGCUUUUGUGGGGUGCUCGAGUGGCGAACGGGUGAGUAACACGUGAGUAACCUGCCCUUGACUUUGGGAUAACUUCAGGAAACUGGGGCUAAUACCGGGUAGGAGCUCCUGCUGCAUGGGGGGGGUUGGAAAGGUUCGGCGGUUGGGGAUGGACUCGCGGCUUAUCAGCUUGUUGGUGGGGUAGUGGCUUACCAAGGCUUUGACGGGUAGCCGGCCUGAGAGGGUGACCAGCCACAUUGGGACUGAGAUACGGCCCAGACUGCUACGGGAGGCAGCAGUGGGGAAUAUUGCGCAGUGGGCGGAAGCCUGAUGCAGCAACGCCGCGUGCGGGAUGACGGCCUUCGGGUUGUGAACCGCUUUCGCAUGUAACGUAGCGUGAGUGACGGUAAUGGGUAAAGAAGCACCGGCUAACUACGUG